rnacentral:lncRNA from 1 species
GCAAGAUAAACAACUAAGUGAUAGCAAGAUAUAUGACAAGAAACAAUAUGACUAUCACAAAGUAAAGUGCACAAGUAAAGGGUUUGAGUAAGAGAGGACCGAGGCACGCGGAGUCGACGAUUUAUCCCAAAGUUCACACCCUUGAGGAUGCUAAUCUCCGUUUGGAGCAGUUUGGAGGCACAAUGCUCCCCAAGAUGCCACUAAGGCCG